CAAACGGCCCUUUUUAGGGCCACCCAUUUAAUAGAAAGGGAUCGA
rfam:Ciona savignyi cont_64515, whole genome shotgun sequence.